UGACGAAGCGACGCCGCGUGCGGGAAGAAGGCCUUCGGGUUGUAAACCGCUGUCGGGAGUUAAGAAAUGCAAGGAUGUUAAUAGCGUUCUUGCUUGACUAAGGCUCCGGAGGAAGCCACGGCUAACUCUGUGCCAGCAGCCGCGGUAAUACAGAGGCGGCAAGCGUUGUUCGGAAUUAUUGGGCGUAAAGAGCACGUAGGCGGCUAUGUAAGUCGGUUGUGAAAGCCUUCCGCUCAACGGAAGAACAGCAUCCGAUACUGCAUGGUUUGAGUGCGGGAGGGGAGAGUGGAACUUCUGGUGGAGCGGUGAAAUGCGUAGAUAUCAGAAGGAACGCCGGCGGCGAAAGCGACUCUCUGGCCCGCAACUGACGCUGAGUGUGCGAAAGCUAGGGGAGCAAACGGGAUUAGAUACCCCGGUAGUCCUAGCCGUAAACGAU
rnacentral:rRNA from 1 species